GGUGGCCAAUGAAGUGCCAUUUGAUCUCAGGACACAAAGACAGAAUCUGAGGGGAAAAAGCGAUGCGUAACCAGCCUCGUUUGAGUCCAAGUCGUGACUACUGGGAGUAUGCUGAUGACUGACGCUUUCCAGAGAGUUACCCGAACAGGCAGCCCAUCUGCCUGAGAGUUUCCCUGACAGAACCUCCAAGGUGAUGUUUAUUAGGGGAAGCCCUAGAUUUUUCUUGGAGAAUCACCGAGAAUCACAGAAUAUUAACAUCAGAAGAGAUCUCAGAGCUUUCAGAGCUGAGGGCCGGAAUAGUUACCUGACUUGUUCAAGGUAACGUCUAAGGAAUAGUCAAGGAAAGACUAUAAUACAGGUCUUGUCUUCAGCCAGCAUAAAUGCUCGAUCAGAGAAACCUGUGACCUCUCUGUUAAGGUCCGUCUCAUUCCACACCAUUCAGCUUAAACUUGCACUGAGGUGGGCAGAUUUUGAUUCUUGGUCUAAUCAAAGUCCAAGAGGAUGUAAUAUAUAUAUACACAAAAGACGAAAGCUCCCCUUAACCGGCUUGGGAUUGGACUGCUCCCUCCUGCCCCAUAAACAAGUGCCGCUCUGAUGCCAGCGAAGUCCGGCCAGUCCACCCUCACCUCGGCCUCCGGGCGGCACUGGCAUUUCUUGGGCACUUAGCAGGUGAGACGCUGCCACACACGCGAUCUCGGGCGUCUCUGGCCUCCGCGGGGUGCUCUUGUACCCCCGUCUCCCCUUACCGUCCGUGGGCACAGGCCUGGCCCCCCUCGCAUCCGCCAAGGCUAUCGACCCCGAAACGACGCGGUGCGCAAGUGGCCACGACACCUGGGCACUAAGUCAUUUUCCCGAGGUAGCGGUACCCUCUGCUCCAACGAAGCCAAUCUCCAGAAAACCUAACAGACUCAAGGUGUCCCUCUUCCCAAGGCGGCCGCCCACCGUCCCCACGCAGCCUCCUUCCUCACCCGCGGCCGCCGCGCCACAGCCUGCUGCACGCGCUCGUUCACCGCCCGCAAUGCGCACCCGACUCCCAGCUCGGCCGACAUGCUGCCAGCUCUCCACAUCCCCCGGGGACCGACGCCGAGCCCCAGGCCCCCGGCAGCCCGCGGCUCACACCAUCUUCCGGUUCCGCCCAGCUUGCGCCGUGUGAACCAAUCAUUGCUCACCAUUGAGUCGUCUCACCCAAUCAACACCUGGGCAGCGCGGAGGCCCGCCCCCAGGCGGCGGCCAUCUUGGGAAGGUCACCCGCGAACCUGGAAAUGGAGCCUAGGGGCUGAGGUUUUGCGCGCCUGGUUCCAAGGGCCACUCCCCGUGUGUUCUCCUCUUUCCUGCGCCUCAGCCGCUGCCGUCCCCCCCACCCCCAAGGGACUUUUGUGAGGCAAAAACGCAUCCUAUACUCGGGGGAUCCUGUUCCCUUUCAAAACGCCUUUCCAGGCUUGCCCGUUCCCGGCUUUCUGGGCGCGGGGACCAGAAUUAGAAGCCACUGGGGCGGGAGCCAGGGCUUUUCUCUGUCAGAUGGUUCUUGCGAGGAACCCCUAAGCGAUACGAAAGGAAACUCUUCUUUCUUCUUUUCCCUAAAGACACGGCGUGAUUCAAACGUAUCGUGAUUUUUGUCAUCUUUCAGACCACUGCUGUCCAAGAGAAAUAUAACGCCAUCCAACUGUGUAAUUUGGAAGUUUCUCAUAGGCACAUAGUUUAAAAAUUUUAAUGAUAUACUUUAAUCCAAUAUAUCCAAAGUAAGAUUUCAACAUGCAAUCAAUAGAAAAACUAAAUGCGAUAUUUUAAUUCCUUUGAAAAUCGUAUGUUUCUGAAACCCGGUGUAGUGUUGACUUGCAUAUGCCUCAAUUCGUGCCAUCCCUAUUUCGAGAGGUUAGCGGCCACCUGCGGCCAGUGCUGUCUCAUCAGGGGACACAGGCAGCAUGAUUAUUACUAUUAUUAUUAUUGAGACAGUCUCGCUCUGUCACCCAGGCUGGAGUGCGGUGGCCCGAUCUGGGCUCACUGCAACUUCCACCUCCCGGGUUCAAGCGAUUCUCCUGCCUCAGCCUCCCCAGUAGCUGGGACUGCAGGUGCGAGCCACCACGCCCAGCCCACAGGCAGCUUUAGAUGGUCUAGCAGGAGCUCAGCACAUUCAGUUAGAUUCUUUUUUUGAGAUGGGGUCUCACUAUGUUGCCCAGAUUAUCUGGGACUCCUGGGCCCAAGCAAUCCUCCCACCUCCGCCUCACAGAAUAGCUGGGACUACAAACGGGCACCACAACGCCCUGAGUUUGAUUCUUGAGUCCCCUUCUGUGGGCAAUAUGGUUAUAAACUUGAUGAGGAGCCAGGCCAUACAAAGAAUAACACAGAAUGCUACAUAGUCAGGUGAUGAAAUUGUAGGUGCUAUGGGCAAGGAGAAGGAGAUCAAUUUUGUUAAGGAAAGCACUCUUGGCUGCAAUUUCUGUUGAAAGUUUCUCAAACAUUAAUUCAACUUAAUGAAGUGGGAUGCUAUUAUAUUAGAGAAAUGGCUAAUGUUUGUUCUUCAGGUGGUCUUGUCUUGAGGUGAUGGGGUUUAUUAGAGCUUUCCAGAAAGAAGGGGCAAUAUUCUUACUCUCUCCUCUCACAGUUUUUCCCCAGACUCCCAGGAACAGAGAUGGAAUUUCACAUCUUCUGCUCUGGGAAAAUCACAUUAGGCAGAACCUCAGAUCCUUAAAGUAAGGGACUUCUUUUUGGGAAGUCUCUGGUCAUUUACCCUGGUACACAUUAACUGGGUUAUCUGCAAACUAGGACUGCCAACAUUAGGAGUAAUUGUGUUCAGAUAAAAUGUCUCUAGACUUGAUACAUCUGUACUCCAACCAAAAUGAU